UAUAAAAAAUUUCUUCAAUUUUUAUUGUUAAAACUUGGUAUUGCUGACAGAAUAAUCAAAUAGUUACACGUGGUAUGCUAUGUGUGCCUCAUUUUAACAUAUAGGGACUGGUUUUUAAUAGUAAAAAUACAUGAAAUUUUUAAUA
rfam:Gossypium raimondii Chr08_contig_405, whole genome shotgun sequence.